rnacentral:misc_RNA from 1 species
AGUGUUCACGUCAUGUAACUUUUGUUCUGUGAAUGGGAUACGAUUUCCAGUUUGGCGUAUGCGUUAAGUUUUUUAAUUUAAUUAGUGUACAAUAAUAACGGUCACGCUUGUACUUAAACUUCUGUGGUGUUUGAAAUUGUAAUGUUGACAUUUUCAAAAAUGUCUCAGUCUACUCAAGAAAGCAACUUCUUAGGAGAGUUGGACUUUUGCAGUGAAUGUGGUGCCAUUUUGCCAUUACCUGGUUCUUCAGAUGUAGUAAGCUGCAAGAUCUGCCAAUUUAACAUAGAUGUUCGGACAUUUGAUGGGAUCGAGACGUUCUCUCGUAUAGUCUUCAAUGAUCGAAAAAAAGCAUUAAAGGGUUAUGUUGACAAGAAAGCUGAAGACAGUGCUGGUCCACUUGUGGAUAGAAACUGUUCAAAGUGUGGUCAUGAAGGGAUGACCUAUGCAACUCUUCAAACCAGAUCUGCAGACGAAGGACAAACUGUUUUCUAUUCCUGUCCACAAUGCAAGUUUCAAGAAACGGAAAAUUCAUGAUAAUAUAGACUGAAGAAUGAACGUGUGUGAACUUUUCCGUGGGCAUGCUGUUAACUAAUGACUGGGAGAGCAAAGGAAGAUCACCCCUUCACAGAACAAGAGACCAAAAUCCCAGUGCAGUAUCCCAAAAUCCUAUAUUGCCUACAUCAGUGAUCAUUCUCAUUACUUGCAACCAAGACAAAAGGGGGAUUAACUCUCAUAUUAUACCAACUUUAAUAAACCAUUAUAUCAUCCUGUUAUUCAGGUGCGUCCCACUCGCCCAGUGAAGCGACAACUCUGAAGCUUGGAUAAGCUUUGUCAUACGUUGACUAUGGCAUAUAGCCUGGGUCCAAGAUGAAGAUUAAUACAAGUUUACAAUUAUUUGCAUUCUGUUCACAAGAACACGUGCAUAAAAAAAAAAAAUUAAAUUAUGUAAAUAGAGCUGAAUAAAAGAUAUUUUU